GUGACCUGGAUUUUAUCUUAGAAGCUCAUGAGGCAUGGGACAGUUUCCAUAGAAAUACAUUAAUUAUGCCACAUACUCUAGGACUGACCUAUGUGACCCAUGCGAUACUUCAGAACUGACGUGGCUCCCUGGAGGCAGAGAAUGUGACUUCUGUCCCACCCUCCAUUGCUGUACUAUGAGAUAUACACAUCAAACAUGUCUUCCCCAACUCCAUCAGUUCUUUGUGCCACAUGCCGGGAGCCAAGCCCACGUACACACCCUCUGUCUCAAGAAUGUUUCAGGAAUGUCAAGCCCUCUUACGCCCUCUGAGACACCUACCCAGUUAUCUGUUCUUAUCAAUAUACCUGCAAUGUAUGGUUUUAGGGCUUUAGGGAGGGUGGUGACGGUAGUGAAAUUGACCCUGGGCCCUGCGUGGCCUUCCCGCCUGCUUGUCUUUAUAAACCACUGUAUCAAAAUAAAAUUUGAGAGCUUGAUCAGA
rnacentral:lncRNA from 1 species